GACGAACGCUGGCGGCGUGCCUAAUACAUGCAAGUUGAGCGCUGAAGGUUGGUACUUGUACCGACUGGAUGAGCAGCGAACGGGUGAGUAACGCGUGGGGAAUCUGCCUUUGAGCGGGGGACAACAUUCGGAAACGAAUGCUAAUACCGCAUAAAAACUUUAAACACAAGUUUUAAGUUUGAAAGAUGCAAUUGCAUCACUCAAAGAUGAUCCCGCGUUGUAUUAGCUAGUUGGUGAGGUAAAGGCUCACCAAGGCGAUGAUACAUAGCCGACCUGAGAGGGUGAUCGGCCACAUUGGGACUGAGACACGGCCCAAACUCCUACGGGAGGCAGCAGUAGGGAAUCUUCGGCAAUGGACGAAAGUCUGACCGAGCAACGCCGCGUGAGUGAAGAAGGUUUUCGGAUCGUAAAACUCUGUUGGUAGAGAAGAACGUUGGUGAGAGUGGAAAGCUCAUCAAGUGACGGUAACUACCCAGAAAGGGACGGCUAACUACGUG
rnacentral:rRNA from 1 species